UCAGUUCCAUCUCUAUCAUUAGAGGAGCUGAAAUGAUCUUCUGGCUAAGCUUGGGGUCCUUACUAGCAGUUCUCAGAGGUGUCCAGUCACAAGCCCAGAUGGUGGAGUCUGGAGGGGAUUUGAGAAGACCUGGGGAGUCCCUUCGUCUCUCCUGCCUAGCCUCUGGAUUCACCUUCAGCAGCCAUGGGAUGAACUGGGUGAUACAGGCUCCUGGGAAAGGACUGGAAUGGAUGGCACAUAUAAGCCCCGGUUCCAGUCCUAUUUACUACUCGGACAAAGUCAAGGGACGCUUCACCAUCUCCAGGGACGAUGCCAGAAGCCAGCUGUAUCUGCAAAUGAACAGCCUCAAAGCUGAAGACACAGCUGUCUAUUACUGUGCUGCAGACACAGUGAGAGGAAGUGAAUCUGAAGCCAGACAAGAACCUUUCCUCCCUCAGAGCGGAUCUCCAAGUGGAUUCAGUUUCAGAAAGUUGAAUUGGAGUAUUGCAACAGAGGAGCAGCUGAUCGAUCUACAUCAUAACAGUUGA